GGGAAAUCAUUUGCAGUUCCAGGGUCAUUCAUCAGUACUCGCACCAUUAUCAACUAGUGCCCUGCGCCUAGGACUAGGUAAGAUCAGUGGGGCAGGACUUUAAAUUCCAGGUCACAUAACAAUGUAGCCGAGAGGCCCAAUUACCCGACUUAUGCAAAGUGUGGUAGGAUCCAUCCGAGUGAAUGUUUGGUGGGUAUAGAGGGUUGUUAUGGUUAUGGUAAGAUGGGUCAUAGAGUCAAGGAGUGUCCAUAUGCUAAGUAAGGAAGUAUAGAUGCUCAUCCUCAGACUCAGGUUUCCAACCCAACACCUAAGCCAGGCCGUCCAGUUUCUCCUCAGGGCGCA
rnacentral:lncRNA from 1 species